UACGUAGGGCGCAAGCGUUGUCCGGAAUUAUUGGGCGUAAAGAGCUCGUAGGCGGUUUGUCGCGUCUGCUGUGAAAACCUAAGGCUCAACCUUGGGCUUGCAGUGGGUACGGGCAGACUAGAGUGCGGUAGGGGUGACUGGAAUUCCUGGUGUAGCGGUGGAAUGCGCAGAUAUCAGGAGGAACACCAAUGGCGAAGGCAGAUCUCUGGGCCGUAACUGACGCU
rnacentral:rRNA from 1 species